GCAAGUCGAAUGGGUUUAGACCCAUGGCAGACGAGGUAGGAACACGUAGGUAACGUGCCCAAGAGUCAAGGAUACUCCGGUGAAAAUCGGCAUAAUACUUGAUAGUCCCCUUUCUUUAUUGUUUAGGGGUAAAGAGUUAUCGCUCUUGGAGCGGCCUGCGGUCCAUUAGCUUGUUGGUAAGGUAACGGCUUACCAAGGCGACGACGGAUAGGGGGGGUGAGAGCCUGAGC
rnacentral:rRNA from 1 species